AUGGCUUCAUCCGGUUCCAUGACGAGGCCACCUUGUGCUAACCAAGAAGACAUGUCGAACAAGUGGGAGGACACAUCUUUGGACAAGGUGAAGGAGAAAGAUGUCAACAUCCCGCCAUGUUGGUGUGGAGAUGUUUGCAAGGUGAAGGUAUCCACCGACCGAAAUAAAUCAUGGACGGAAGGGCGGAGAUAUUUUGUAUGCCCGAACUAUGCUUAUGAUCAUGCACUUCCAACUAACGCCUAUGACCAACCACCGGUAAGCUCGAAAACUAGAGAAGGAACACUUUACCACAUAGUUAAUCACCGGAACAGUAGGGACUCCUUGCCCUAA
rnacentral:rRNA from 1 species